UACAGAGGUGGCAAGCGUUGUUCGGAAUUACUGGGCGUAAAGGGCGCGUAGGCGGCCUACUAAGUCAGACGUGAAAUCCCCCGGCUUAACCUGGGAACUGCGUCUGAUACUGGAAGGCUUGAGGAUGGGAGAGGGAUGUAGAAUUCCAGGUGUAGCGGUGAAAUGCGUAGAUAUCGGGAGGAACACCAGUGGCGAAGGCGGCUUCCUGGCCUGUUCUUGACGCUGAGGCGCGAAAGCUAGGGGAGCAAACGGGG
rnacentral:rRNA from 1 species